GUAGACUCGAGAUAAAAAAGAUUAUUGCAGAAAAAGAAGGAUACGCAAGUGGUAAAAGAUACACUUUAACAAGGUCCUGAAAGUCGGCAACAUAGGAAGAAGUUGGGAUCAGAGAGAGAAGACAAGCAAACCUUGAACUGACACUACUGAUUCACAGCCUUAACAUUGUGGAGACAAGAAUGCCUCCAGAUAGGACUCUAAGGUAAUUUUUAAAAAUUAUCCAU
rnacentral:lncRNA from 1 species